rnacentral:rRNA from 1 species
CGAGUAGGCGGAAUUAUAAGUGAGGUGGUAAAGACAUGGGCUUAACCUGUGGGUGACACCUUAGACUGUAAGUCUAGAGAUCAGGAGAGGGGAGUGGAAUUUCCGGAGGAGCGGUAAAAUGCGUAGAGAUCAGGAGGAACACCCGUGGCGAAGGCGGUUGGCUGGGCCCUUCCUGACGCUGAGGCGCGAAAGCGCGGGGAGCGAACGGGAUUAGAUACCCCGGUAGUCCGCGCCGUAAACGAUGGAGACUAGGUGUCAGCGGUAUCGACCCCGCUGGUGCCGGAGCUAACGCGUGAAGUCUCCCGCCUGGGGAGUACGGCCGCAAGGUUGAA